CCUCCCCUUUGUACCGGCCCUACUUAGGGAUGCACGGUUGGUUAUACGCUUGCUUCACUCGGUUAGGCAUGGAGGAGAAUUCAUUCAGCCCUCAUAGGUUUAAAUCAAAUGCAUGACCCUUCACAUUUUCCAGAGAUUUACGGCCAGUUACAAUGAGACAAUUAAACAUUCACCCCCCCGCCAAGCUGCACUUGGAGAUGU
rnacentral:lncRNA from 1 species